rnacentral:lncRNA from 1 species
UAUAGAGGCAAGACAAUCAAUCCUGCAAGUGAAUAAAGUAGUAAUUAGUAUAACAUGAAUUAACAAAGAUUGGGCAUUGAGAUUUCAGAAGUUAAUCAGGUGCGGCAAGCACAAUUGCCAAUGUCUGACAAACAUAACAAGGCAAGGUUGUGAUGAAAACUAAUCGCCAUACUUCUAAUGGAAGACAUCUUCCAUACUACAAAAUUCACUGACACCAUUAAUGCCAUUUCAACAAAACAGAUUCUCAAACCAAGAAGUCUACUGCACGCAGCAGUAGGUCUCUAAUAUAUUAAAACCCAAUUCCUUCACUUAUGCCACUUCAUCAAGGGCCCUGAGAUUUUCAAUUUGACAGCACAAAACAAUCUCUCAUUCAGUAAUUAUUAGAAGAACCAAGCGCACUGCACUAUAACUCCCUCUGUCCCAUGUAGUCCUUUUUUCGUUUUUCGUCUAUCCUAAAUUAUAGUCCUAUUUCUUAUUUGAGAGUAUAGUUAAUAUAUUAAUUUAGUAAUAUGUCCCUAUUUUAUGUGCUUUGUUAUCACAAAUAUAAUUUAAUUACCUUGAAUAUCAAUUGCAUUAAUGUAGGGGUACAGUAGGAAAAAUUAUAGUAAAAUUUAUUAUUUCAACUAUAUUAACUAAAUUUUCUUAAUCUGUAUGGAAAAAAAUAAAAAUUUAUCUUUAUGGGAGAAAAGAGUAUUUCAUAAGAAGAUUGGAACAAGAAAAUCCCUCUUAUUCUUCAACAAACGAGACAUAACUGAGGAGUUUACUGUCAAUGCAAAUGAUUACUGGGUCAUAUUAUAAAGGAUCCAAACAAAAAACCAUUUGACAUGCAAACAAAAUAGGGAAAAUUUGAUUCAUUGCUUGAUUGCCAUAAACCAAUGACCAUCCUUUCGACGGUGGAAACUAAGAAAAACAAAAGAAAGCAUACUGAAUAAUAAACCUUCUAAAUUUCCUUAUUUUAAAAAGGCUCGAAUGUGUUUCAAUGCUUGGGAGAGUAUUUGAUUUGGAAGGUCAACUCAACAAUUAAUGGAAGCAGAGGUCGAAUGAGGGUCAGUAAACCCUGCCUUUUACUCUCACCCACUUGAGUUGGCAAAGCUUUUUCUUCCGCAUGAGUUUGAAUGGGAGGGCCUAAAAUCCUUAAUUCAUAGAAUUUCUUGGAACUUAAAUCUCAAAAAAAAGAAAUAUGUGCUACUAAGAAAGUCAUCACAGGAGAUUUCAGAAGUUAAUCAGGUGCGGCAAGCACAAUUGCCAAUGUCUGACAAACAUAACAAGGCAAGGUUGUGAUGAAAACUAAUCGCCAUACUUCUAAUGGAAGACAUCUUCCAUACUACAAAAUUCACUGACACCAUUAAUGCCAUUUCAACAAAACAGAUUCUCAAACCAAGAAGUCUACUGCACGCAACAGUAAGUCUACUGCACGCAACAGUAAGUCUCUAAUAUAUUAAAACCCAAUUCCUUCACUUAUGCCACUUCAUCAAGGGCCCUGAGAUUUUCAAUUUGACAGCACAAAACAAUCUCUCAUUCAGUAAUUAUUAGAAGAACCAAGCGCACUGCACUAUAACUCCCUCUGUCCCAUGUAGUCCUUUUUUCCUUUUUCGUCUAUCCUAAAUUAUAGUCCUGUUUCUUAUUUGAGAGUAUAGUUAAUAUAUUAAUUUAGUAAUAUGUCCCUAUUUAAUGUGCUUUGUUAUCACAAAUAUAAUUUAAU